AGCGGACGCUGGCGGCAGGCUUAACACAUGCAAGUCGAACGGGCAUAGCAAUAUGUCAGUGGCAGACGGGUGAGUAACGCGUGGGAACGUACCUUUUGGUUCGGAACAACACAGGGAAACUUGUGCUAAUACCGGAUAAGCCCUUACGGGGAAAGAUUUAUCGCCGAAAGAUCGGCCCGCGUCUGAUUAGCUAGUUGGUAGGGUAAUGGCCUACCAAGGCGACGAUCAGUAGCUGGUCUGAGAGGAUGAUCAGCCACAUUGGGACUGAGACACGGCCCAAACUCCUACGGGAGGCAGCAGUGGGGAAUAUUGGGCAAUGGGCGAAAGCCUGAUCCAGCCAUGCCGCGUGAGUGAUGAGGGCCCUAGGGUUGUAAAGCUCUUUUGUGCGGGAAGAUAAUGACGGUACCGCAAGAAUAAGCCCCGGCUAACUUCGUG
rnacentral:rRNA from 1 species